rnacentral:tRNA from 1 species
GACUUGGUAGCCCAGUGGUUAGGGCACCCACCUGGGAGGUGGGAGACUCCGGCUCCUGUCCUCCUGGUCC